ACCAGGCCUUGACAUGCAGAGAACUUCCAGAGAUGGAUUGGUGGCCUUCGGGAACUCUGACACAGGUGCUGCAUGGCUGUCGUCAGCUCGGGUCGUGAGAUGUGGGUUAAGUCCCGUAACGAGCGCAACCCUUGUCCUUAGUUACCAGCACGUUAUGGUGGGCACUCUAAGGAGACUGCCGGUGACAAACCGGAGGAAGGUGGGGAUGACGUCAAGUCAUCAUGGCCCUUACGGCCUGGGCUACACACGUGCUACAAUGGUCGGUACAAAGGGUUGCCAAGCCGCGAGGUGGAGCUAAAUCCCAUAAAACCGAUCGUAGUCCGGAUCGCAGUCUGCAACUCGACUGCGUGAAGUCGGAAUCGCUAGUAAUCGUGAAUCAGAAUGUCACGGUGAAUACGUUCCCGGGCCUU
rnacentral:rRNA from 1 species